UGUAGUCACUUGUAGAUGCCUGGGGCCUGGGGCUCUCAGCUCUCCCUGGGGUCGCUCAUGGAGCGGGAACCCGUGGGGAGAGUCCGGCCGAGCCUUCCACACUGGCUCUUCCCUCUCCACCAGCCAGCACAGGAGCCUGAGACGCUGAAGGAACCAAACUCCAAGUAUCUUCUAUCAAGUGGGUUAUUUGUACCUGAGGACAUCAGAUCUGGGACUGCCGUCGUCCUGGGGCUCUGCCCCUAACCAAAACCAGUGACUCAUGGCAGUUUCUUCUUCUAUCAGUGUUUACAGGGCCUAGAAGGACUGUGAGACUCAGAAGCAGAACAUGCAGGAAAGGGUACUCUUGGAUGUGCUGUCCUAUAGAAUUCCCUGAGUUGAUUAAAAUGUUCUAUUUAUCUAUGCUGUCCAGGGUGAUAGAGUUCCUGCUUAGAUAGUAGCUCCCAUCCCACACUUCCCGGUCCUCUUCUGACUGCAGGCUGUGUCCAGGACAGCUUAGUCUGAGACUACAGACCCCUGGGCUCGAUCUUCAUGGGCCUUCCAGAUCCAGUCUCUACCGUAGCCAUGGCUCAAGCCAUGUCCAAGGACACACAUCACGGUACAGACGGAUGUGGCCAGUACGUUACUGAUCUCACCACUCUAGCGUCCUGCAGGAGCCUGGCCCGGAGCAGAUGCUGUGUUAACAUUGGAUCAAUGGACUACCUUCUCAUCGCCAGGCCGGUCUCCCUCAGCUACUGGGAUGGCUUCUAGAAUCCCUCCCUAUUAUGUGGACUAAGGACUUCUGCUAUCCAUGGAAGGUGAAUGAAACCAGGGCUUCAGCCUCAUCUCCAUCCUGACUUCCUGGGGUGUGUGCCAAGGUACAGCUGAAAACCAGUGAGCAAUAAUUGGAAACAUCCUGGAUUCAGCAUUGUUAUGUGACAAUCUGAUUUUUAUUUUGAAACUGCAAAACGAAAGCCAUAUAAGCAUCUGCUCUGCAUGAUUAGAGGCAGUGUGGUCCUGAGGAAAGAGGACUAGUCUCAGGGUCAUCCUGGACCUAACAGGCUGUAGUGGACAAGGUGCUCCGUCCCUCUGCACCCCAGUUUUCUCAUAAGUAAAACAAAAACAUUAGACUCUAAGCUUCUUCCUGCUGUUAAUGUGAAUGCUUGAAAAAUGGCUGGUCACAUCUGCAAUCAACCCACAUGAAGUACCUUUUAAGUAAUCAUUUGCCUGAAUCCGGUCCAUUUUCAUGGUUUAGUUUUUCUGACACCUUUCACUUAACCCUUACACCACCGGGGCCUUUCUCAUUUGCAAUCUUCACUAGUGCUUCUCUGGAUUGCAGUAAGUCAUGUUGGAUUCCAGCCACUGAAUCACCUGCUUCUUUGCCCUAUCUGGAGCCUCUUAAAUCCGCAGCAGUCUCAACUCCCUGACAAAGCACAGAGAGAGGUGCCGGUCUCCCUCCUCUACCACCCCUCCCAUUCCUGCUUCCCUGAAAAAUCAAAUGGGGGGGUUGGGUGGGGGAAUCCAGAAUGUUUCUAUUCUGGCAGUUAGCACUCUUACCACUAGAUGGCACAUGUGUGCAAGUCAUCAGUCUUCCGGCAAAAACUCUAAUCUUUAAAAAUAUAUUUGUACUCCCAUCUCAACCACAAAAGCUUUGAGAGGAAUUAUACAAGUACAAAAUAAGCAAGAGGAUAAAAUGAAAAGUUGAAGGAAUUGGAGAAAGUAGAGAACAAGUGGAAAUGGUAACUCGAGGAUGGGUUUUCAGAGGGAGGAUGCUGAACAGUGAAACACCAGUGACUUCUCUGGAACAGUUUCUGUGAGUCCUUCUAUGCAGAACUAUGGUGUGAUGCUACAUGAAGAAAUGUAGUUCUCUGGGGUGCAAACACUGGGUUUCCAGGAGUUGAAUUUGCUGCUCUAUGCUUUUGUAUUUUCAAAAAGUGAAAUUUGCACCCACCUCCUGAGGUUUGGGUGAAGCCUGGGACCAGGAGGCUCUCCUUGAGGCUGUGGUCACCAGUCUCCAAGAUGCCCCCCCAUGACCCCCCUGCCUCCUCGCUUUCACACCCUAUGGAGUCCCCACCUACAUACCAGGGAGUGGUCUGUGUGACCAACAGAAUAUAGAGGGGUGAUGGCAUGUUGUUUCUGAGGUUAGGUUACAGAAGACAUUGCAGCUGCUCUCUUGGUCUCUCUGUGUGUUUGUCUCUGUCUUUCUAUCAGAUCAUUUGCUCUGGGGAAAGCUAGCUGCCAUGUCAUGAGGAGCCCUCUGGAGAGACCCAUGUAGCAAAGAACUGAGGCCUUCUGGCAACAGCCAGCAUUAACUUGCUUGGCCAUGUGUGUGAGCCAUCUUGGAAGCAAAGCCUCUAGCUCAGCGGACACCUUGACAGAAACCCUAUGAGAGAUGCUGAGCCAGACUAUCCAGCUAAGUCUGUCCUUAGCUCUGUGAGAUAAUAAGUAUAUGUUCUUGGGACGCCUGGGUGGCUCAGCGGUUGACUGUCUGCCUUCAGCUCAGGGCGUGAUCCUGGAGUCCCUGGAUCGAAUCCCACAUCAGGUUCACUGCAUUGGAGCCUGCUUCUCCUCCCUCUGCCUCUAUCUCUGCCUCUCUCUGUGUGUCUCUCGUGAAUAAAUAAGUAAAAUCUUAAAAAAAAAAAGUAUUU
rnacentral:lncRNA from 12 species